rnacentral:tRNA from 1 species
GCCUGGGUGGCUCAGUUGGUUGAGCGUCCGACUUCAGCUCAGGUCACGAUCUCACGGUCCGUGAGUUCGAGCCCCACGUCGGGCU